rnacentral:rRNA from 1 species
UACUAGAGUAGCACUCGCAUAUCAAUAAGCGGAGGAAAAGAAACUAACUAGGAUUCCCUCAGUAACGGCGAGUGAAGCGGGAAGAGCUCAAAUUUGAAAUCUUCAAGGUUCUACCUUGAUGAAUUGUAGUUUAAAGAAGUGUUUUCUGUUGGAGUUUUGGUAAAAGUUCUUUGGAAUAGGACAUCAUAGAGGGUGAGAAUCCCGUAUUUGACCAUUAUUUCAACUGUGUGAUACACUUUCAAAGAGUCGGAUUGUUUGGGAAUGCAGUCCAAAAUGGGUGGUAAAUUUCAUCUAAAGCUAAAUAUUGGCGAGAGACCGAUAGCGAACAAGUACCGUGAGGGAAAGAUGAAAAGAACUUUGAAAAGAGAGUUAAACAGUACGUGAAAUUGUCAAAAGGGAAGCGUUUGACACCAGUGUUGUUUAGUUGAAAAUCAAUUCAAUAAUUUUUGAUUUUAAGUAGUAUUGACUUCAUCAGCUUGCUGCUUUCUUUUCGAAAAUUAUUGAAUGCACUUUUCAGUUAACAAGUCAACAUCAAUUUCUUUUGUUGUAAAAGGGUAAGAGGAAGGUGGCUUACGCUUCGGCGUAAGUGUUUAUAGCCUUUUACCUCUGCAAUCGGAGAGAUUGAGGUCAGCAGCGUAGACUCCUUCGGGGGUUAGAUACACUUGUGCUAAGCUAUAGCCUUGUAUAGACAACUUGUUGACUAUGCUCAGUCAUGUAGCUUACUCGCAUGUGCUAUUUUACCUACGCUUAGGAUGUUGAAGAUAUGCGCGACACG